UAAGACAGAGGCCACAAGCGUUAGGCGGAAUCACUGGGCUUAAAGCGUGUGUAGGUGGAUGUCUAAGUACCUUGUGAAAUCCCACGGCUCACCCGUGGAACUGCUUGGUAUACUGGAUGUCUUGAGCUAUCUAGGGGCAGCUGGAACGAACGGUGGAGCGGUGAAAUGCGUAGAUAUCGUUCGGAACGCCAAUGGUGAAAACAGGCUGCUGGGGAUACGCUGACACUGAGACACGAAAGCCAGGGGAGCAAACGGGAUUAGAUACCCCGGUAGUCCUGGCCCUAAACGAUGUCCACUAGAUCGUGGUGCCUCUGACGGCUUCACGGUCGAAGCAAAAGUGCUAAGUGGACCGCCUGGGAAGUACGGUCGCAAGGCUA
rnacentral:rRNA from 1 species